GGGGAUGUAGCUCAGAAGUAGAGCACCUGCUUUGCAUGCAGAAGGUCCCAAGUUCAAUCCCCAGCAUCACCA